GACGAACGCUGGCGGCGUGCUUAACACAUGCAAGUCGAACGGAAAGGCCCUGCUUUUGUGGGGUGCUCGAGUGGCGAACGGGUGAGUAACACGUGAGUAACCUGUCCUUGACUUUGGGAUAACUUAAGGAAACUGGGGCUAAUACCGGAUAGGAGCUCCUGCUGCUUGGUGGGGGUUGGAAAGUUUCGGCGGUUGGGGAUGGACUUGCGGCUUAUCAGCUUGUUGGUGGGGUAGUGGCUUACCAAGGCUUUGACGGGUAGCCGGCCUGAGAGGGUGACCGGCCACAUUGGGACUGAGAUACGGCCCAGACUCCUACGGGAGGCAGCAGUGGGGAAUAUUGCACAAUGGGCGGAAGCCUGAUGCAGCAACGCCGCGUGCGGGAUGACGGCCUUCGGGUUGUAAACCGCUUUCGCCUGUGACGAAGCGUGAGUGACGGUAAUGGGUAAAGAAGCACCGGCUAACUACGUG
rnacentral:rRNA from 1 species